UCUGCUGCUCACACAUCUGCUGAACGUGCAUAAACGAUGUUUUCAUGCGUGCGUGCGUGCGGUAACAAUAGGUGACAGCUGCGUGACAAUGUUGUGCAAUGAAAAUAGGCAAGAGAUGCUCUAUCAGCAAAAACCUUUCAAUGCAGAACAGGUAAACGGCACACCGGGAAAAACUGUAAAAACCAAUCGAGACCAAUGUAAACAUCAUUUCAACUGUGUCAGUCGCGUUGUUUUCCAAUCCGAUCACGGGAGAUAAGUGAAUGUCUUGUCGAGUCAACCCGUUCACUCAUUCCUCGUGACAAUAAAUUUCACCACCCGCUUGUCAUGCUGAGGGAAGACAUCGGACACUGCAGGUAAUGUAUACAUUUCAUCA
rnacentral:lncRNA from 1 species